UGGUCCAAUUGUGGUUUACUCUUACAGGUUAGUGUGGUCAUGGCACAAUGGUGUCUUCUCCAGAAAUCUUCGAAUCUUGUCCAUCCAUGAAGGGCAGCAAAAGGGUCUACUUCGGAUUGCAGAAGAGGUUCGUCCAGCUCAUCCGUGUUGGAGAUUCUAACAACCAGCUCAGGCUACCUGCUGUUGCAGCUCGUCACUAUGAGAGGAAGCUCAAUGUCUUCUUGUAUGUAUAUGUUUGUUUUCUAAUCUAGCUGAAAUUUAUUUUUUAUCUGUCUUGAUUCUAGUUUCUUUUGGUAAUUGAAAUAGAGAAACUCACCUUUCCUGA